rnacentral:lncRNA from 1 species
CAGGUCCCUGAACGCAGGGUGGUGGCGAUCAGGUUUCGCUUUGUGUAGAUUAUCGGAUUUGUUGUUUCUCUUCUUCUGUUUGGGUUUGAUUCUAUGCUUUCGAUAUCGAUAUCGAUGGCUUAAGUUUUGUUAUCGCUAUGCUUUAGGUUUUGGUGAUGGAUUUUGCUAACCGAUUAAAAGUUGGAUCUAAUGACCUUCGAAGGUUGUGACGAUAUAAAGAACCAGAGAUUGUGUAUAUUUGCAGGCUUGUUUUAUUGGUUCAGAUGAGACCCAAACGACAUCGUUGAUCAUGUGACGUAGGUGUUUGGAUUUGGAUCUUCUCGUUGUUUUCUAUAGAUAUAGAUUGUUGAUUUGAGGCUGAAGCUCAUCUUUAUUGAUAUGCUUAUGAGUUUUGAUUGGGAUGAUGAAUGCCAGGGCAUCGUGUAUUCGGUACCUGGUUAUGCUUGCGUUUUGAUUUGCACGAAAACCUCAUCGAUUUACCUUCUAUGGGAGAUCUUUCGUUUACCUCCUUUGAUUUUAUUCUGAAGUUUACAAUAUAAUGAUUUGGAAAUUUCCCUCGUUUUUUAUCAAUCAAAUAAGCGGAGCUUUGCUGUUAUUUUUCAGGCCUCGUUUGCGGUGUUUGACACACGAGGGUUAGAUGUUUGGUUAGCUGAUGACUCGAUAGGUUCUUAUGGGAUCUGAUUGUGGAUGGCUAUGAGGUUGUAUUUUUUUACUGUUUUGCGGAUGCAAUGGAAUGUUGAAUUUCAAAAUUGUCUAUCCGGAUCUAUUGGUUUGCAGGAGAUAUAAUAAUAGUAUUGCGGAUGGCUUUGAGCUUAUUACUGCACAUUUGUUGUCUUUGGAUAGAGCGUAGUGCACUCCAUUUGUAAAGGUUUUCAUUGGUUUGUUGCAUAUGGAUUAUUGUUUUUGGUUACGUGCUUAUUCUUUUACAGUUUGUCAAAAUGCGCGUCUUUAUAUAUCUUUCAAGUCCCUGAAAUUUGUAAGUAAUAUCAUGUUUAUGUCCUCCGCCUUUUCCCUAUGAUCAUGCCGAACUUUCUGCUCUUAUAUUGACAUACUAAAUCCAGAAUUCGUGUUAACCUUCUUAGUUCGUAGCCUUUCAUUUCGAUGUGUUUCUUGUUUUUUGGGUAUGUUCUAAACGGGUUUUUAUGUCCUCAAUUUUGGCUUUCUAUUGAUUUUCUCAGUUGGAAUGAAAGGGUCUAUUUUAAUUUUUUUUCUUGUCUCAAAGAUAUAGUAAUUGUUUUUUUUUUCAGAGAUAUAAAGUUAUUCAAUGUUCUGAUUACAGACCCUGAGUAUUUCUCACUUACCUCUUUAUUGCCAUGUAUUUGAUCAGUAUAUUUUGCCUUAUGGUCUUCAAGCUAUUAAUAAUUACAACCAUAAGUGGGUUGGCGCUUACCUUUUAUGUUAUGUUUUUUUUAAAAAGUUUAUUCAAUGGUUUUCAUUGCAUAUAUUUGGGCUUCGAAUUUGUAUAGCAGUGUGGUUAGGUAUUGUCUUGAUGAUUCACUAAUUUUGUGAUUAAAGUGCUUAUGGAGACUAAGUUGGAUGGAGCCAAAAGUUUAUGACACUGUUAUGGGGAGCUAUUCUGGUUUGGUUGACAUGUUAAAAUCUUUUUCUUUUAAUAUUUUAAUUUUUUUUAUACAACUCUCUCUCUCUCUCUCUCUCUCUCUCUCUCUCUCUCUCUUUUUCACCCCAAAAUUAAUAUUAGUUGCUAUGUAUUUCUCAGGUUUCUUAGGUUGGUUUCGAAUUGGCAUACUACCUAAGGGGGGUUUUAAUGUUGUUGCCUUUCGUUUCCCAUUUAAAUUUUUUAUUAAAUUUGGUACUGAUAUUUUAGUAAUAUCUUAUGGAGAUGCAACCUAAUUUUUGUCUUAGGGACAAAGUUUCACCAGGGGAAAACAGUUUGAGAGCUUGUGGCCGCUGGUUUUGUUUGUUCCCCUUCAUUGGUUUCUUACUUUUGUUACUCGUUCAAUAUCGUGAAUUCUGUGGUCUGUCUUUCUGUCCACAUUAUGUAGUGAUUAUCAGGAUUUUGAGCAGUUCCUGGGGUUACCUUGUUUGGUGAUUUUUUUUUUUGUGUGUGCAGGAAUUUGGUUUUUAACGCCACAGUUAAUAAAGGAAGUUGAAAUAGGUUAUUGGGAGAACAUGUU